rnacentral:sRNA from 1 species
UUCAGGCACUUUGAUGCUGCUUGUGAUGAUGCUGGCCCAAUGCUGCCGCCGUCGUCGCCGUCAGCGCUUUGAUUGUGUGCGUAUUUCUUUCAGAACUCUAGCCAGUGCGUAAUGAACAAAGUGAUCGGUGAACGUCAAGUGACUUGAAAAAAAAUUUAUAACCAACGCAACAAAAACAACAACAACAACUACAAGAAUACAACAUUACAACAUUAAAUGUAGAGUAGAGAAAGACUAAAAAAAAAAUCCAGCGGUCAAAGGACAUAUGAAAUACAAAACCCCAUAAACCAACAAUGAACACAAAAAAACAACAUUUUUACAGAAAUAGUGAAAAACUGCAGAAAAACUUGAAAAAAAAAAACAAAAACAAUUUCAAUGUAAUUAAUUAUUGUAUAAAGGACCCGUUUACAUAACCCUUAAUUACCCUAAUUGCUUAAUGUGUGUCCACGUAUGGGGCUGCUUUGUGUAUGCCAGUGUGACUGUGUGCGACGGUGUGCAACAUAAAUGCCCCUUUUGCGUUGCUGUGUUUAUGCUGUUGGCUAGUAAUCCCGAUGCUGGAGUGUGCCUUGUUAACUGGUGUCAUGUGACAACACUUGAUGACACUUUCCCCAAGAUGGUGAACUAUAUAUGAAGAGAGUCUCAGAAAACGACUCCACAAGGACGAUCCAAAGGAUAUGGCAAAAGAUUGAAAAGGUAUUUAUAUGGCAAAGUUCAUAAUUACUUAUAAAUAUCUAAAAUUCAUGUUUAUGGCUAUAACGAUGCUUGGUUUUAUGGUCCAAGUCAUAA